rnacentral:misc_RNA from 1 species
GAUGAAGAACGUAGCGAAAUGCGAUAAGUAAUGCGAAUUGCAGAAUUCCAGUGAGUCAUCGAAUCUUUGAACGCACAUUGCGCCCUUUGGUAUUCCUUAGGGCAUGCCUGUUCGAGCGUCAUUUGAACCCUCAAGCUCAGCUUGGUGUUGGGUGUCUGUCCCCGCCCCGCGGGGACUCGCCUCAAAAACAUUGGCGGCCGGUACGUUGGCUUCGAGCGCAGCAGAAACGCGAACUCGGGGCCCGACGUAGCGGCGAACCACAAGUCUAUUCAUCACUUUGACCUCGGAUCAGGUAGGGAUACCCGCUGAACUUAAGCAUAUCAAUAAGCGGAGGA